rnacentral:ncRNA from 1 species
GCGUUUCAAGACACCUCGGGUCAAGGGAAGAGGGUGUAAAGCCCUCGCGGUCCCGCCGCUGUAAAUGGGGACGAAACCCGCAGGCGCCACUGUCUGGGAAAGCCGUCGGUUAUCGGCAGCCAGCAUUCAGCCAACAGCUGAUGCCUGAUCGCUGAGAGCUGAUCGCUUCGAAGAUGGGAAGGCGCGGGGAGUAGGAUGAACCAUAAGCCAGAAGACCUGCCCGAGGAAGACCCUUUAUU